rnacentral:rRNA from 1 species
GAUGAACGCUGGCGGCGUGCUUAACACAUGCAAGUCGAACGGAAAGGCCCAAGCUUGCUUGGGUACUCGAGUGGCGAACGGGUGAGUAACACGUGGGUGAUCUGCCCUGCACUUCGGGAUAAGCCUGGGAAACUGGGUCUAAUACCGGAUAGGACGAUGGUUUGGAUGCCAUUGUGGAAAGUUUUUUCGGUGUGGGAUGAGCUCGCGGCCUAUCAGCUUGUUGGUGGGGUAAUGGCCUACCAAGGCGUCGACGGGUAGCCGGCCUGAGAGGGUGUACGGCCACAUUGGGACUGAGAUACGGCCCAGACUCCUACGGGAGGCGGCAGUGGGGAAUAUUGCACAAUGGGCGCAAGCCUGAUGCAGCGACGCCGCGUGGGGGAUGACGGCCUUCGGGUUGUAAACUCCCUUCGCUAGGGACGAAGCGUUUUUGUGACGGUACCUGGAGAAGAAGCACCGGCUAACUACGUG